GCCUGUUUUUCAAAAACAUGGCUAUUAGAUGGGAUUAAUAGUCGAGCCUGCUCUAUGAUUUAAAUGGCUGCAGUAACCCUGACUGUACGAAGGUAGCAUAGUAAUUAGCCUUUUUAUUGGAGGCUGGGAUCAAUGGCGAUAACUGGAGAGAAUGUUUUUUUUUAUUUUCUUGAAUUUAAAUUAAGAAUAAAAAUGUUUUUAUAAUUCUUUGGGACGAGAAGACCCUAGAAGCUUGUAAUGGAUAUUUUUGGUUGGGGAGAUGGUUGAAGAUGUGGAUCUUUGUAUGGUAGAAGUUACUCUAGGGAUAACAGCGUAAUUUGUUUGGUGAGUUCUUAUCAAUAAGUGAGUUUGCGACCUCGAUGUUGAAUUAAGUGGUAUGUAUGGUGUAGGGGCUAUA
rnacentral:rRNA from 1 species